rnacentral:rRNA from 1 species
CAGCAGCCGCGGUAAUACGUAGGUGGCAAGCGUUGUCCGGAAUUAUUGGGCGUAAAGGGCUCGCAGGCGGUUUCUUAAGUCUGAUGUGAAAGCCCCCGGCUCAACCGGGGAGGGUCAUUGGAAACUGGGAAACUUGAGUGCAGAAGAGGAGAGUGGAAUUCCACGUGUAGCGGUGAAAUGCGUAGAGAUGUGGAGGAACACCAGUGGCGAAGGCGACUCUCUGGUCUGUAACUGACGCUGAGGCACGAAAGCGUGGGGAGCAAACAGGAUUAGAUACCCCCGUAGUCCCUGUCUCUUAUAC